rnacentral:rRNA from 1 species
UACGUAGGGUGCAAGCGUUGUCCGGAUUUAUUGGGCGUAAAGAGCUCGUAGGCGGUUCAGUAAGUCGGGUGUGAAAACUCUGGGCUCAACCCAGAGACGCCACCCGAUACUGCUGUGACUUGAGUACGGUAGGGGAGUGGGGAAUUCCUGGUGUAGCGGUGAAAUGCGCAGAUAUCAGGAGGAACACCAGUGGCGAAGGCGCCACUCUGGGCCGUAACUGACGCUGAGGAGCGAAAGCGUGGGUAGCAAACAGG